ACUCAGCCACACCUGUCUUACCAUCAUGUUUCACAGUGGUCAGCCAGCCUCAGAGACACCUUAGUGUCCUCAGAACCUUGGUCUUUGACAAUGACUGGAGGUGGUGGCUGCUGGCAUGUCACCUGCCAAACCUAUAGAGUGGUUCUGUAAAGGUAGAAUUUCUGAGGAUGGGGACUUGCCACUCAAGUGAUGAGAAGCUGACAUUAAGCACAACAUACCUAGCUGUAGCUCACCUCCAGAAGUUUAGUGUUUUCAUGAUUAUGGGGAAAGAAGACAAAUUUCAGGUUCAGCCAGAUUUCAGUCGUUUCCUUGGCCACCUUUCAGUCUCUCGCCAGAGCAGCCUCUUCCCUCACUAGUGCCUGUCUUCUUUUCCUCCCCUGCUGUCCCAUCCCGCCUCUCCACCCAUCUAGUUGUACCUCAUCACCUGUUAAAGCAGAUUGUGUCUGUCUUCCUGCUGCCCUUACUAUAAGAGCUGACUGAGAGAGGUGCAGUGGGAAGAGAUGAAGCUUUUUUGCCUUACUGGAGCCUGAAGAGCUCAGAAACUCAUGCUGUGAAUCCUAAACUCUGUGCUCCUCCAAGAGCUGUGAAAAUCAUGACUUUUUUUUUUUUUUUUUCCACAAUUUUGCCUGAAAGGGUCUUCUGUGAGGGCUCCAGAGCCAGCCUGAGGUCAGUUCUAGAUCCCACCCUCUGGGCAUCCUUCCCCUGGGUGUGUCCUCUGCCCACCAGGCUAAGAGCAGCAGCAAGUCUGCAGGGCUGUGGCAGCAGGUCCGAGGCUGCAGUGCAGCCAAGUGGACCCAGCCCUCCAUCUCCCCAGGCUGGGGCUCAGUCUCUUCUGUACCAUGUGCAUUAAGAUCUGUGCAAGACCAACUUUUAGGUUGUGAUACUUUCCUCCUGGUACCUGGGGGGAGGGGAGUAUGCAGUUGGUGCUUUCUUUAAUAUCCUUGGUUUGUUUCUAUAGCUUUUCCCCUGGUAUCAUGAAAAGGGCCUUUUUAAUGACCACAUUGUGGGUGGCUGUAUCCAAAGCAUAAAUAAUUGGCCAGUGGUAUGGAAUGUCCUCACCUGCAUUCCUGUCAGGAGAGGGCUACUUUCCUGGACUGAACUAUAUAGAACUGGCUAGGAAGAUGAGUUAAAUUUUGUUCAAAUCACAAUUAAUAUUCCAAUUUAGCCACACUUUGACCAGCAAAAGCCAUCUUGGUUGUGAAGCUGGGGCCCUCAUUUAGCCGCCAUCCAGCCCAGCAUGCUAAAAUCUGAGGCUCAUUCUGUCUUUAUAAGACUGUCUGGUGUUGGUUGGAUUUUAAUUCUCAACAAGAGGCCCCCUUGAACUAGGAUCUGGGCCAGUAAGUUGCUGUCCCUAGUGUUCCUGUAUUAUCAUGGCUAAUAGUUCAGUGAAAUGUGUCCAUCUUUGGUAAUGCUAGUAUACAUGAUACCCUACAGUUCCUUUUCUGUUUGAUAGUUUGUGACUCUAAAUGCCCACUGUUACAUUAAUUAAUUUAUGGAAAUAAAUUUUUCUUGAAAACCAUUC
rnacentral:lncRNA from 1 species